CAGUCGCCACGGUAAUACGAAGGGUGCAAGCGUUACUCGGAAUUACUGGGCGUAAAGCGUGCGUAGGUGGUGGUUUAAGUCCGUUGUGAAAGCCCUGGGCUCAACCUGGGAAUUGCAGUGGAUACUGGGUCACUAGAGUGUGGUAGAGGAUAGUGGAAUUUCCGGUGUAGCAGUGAAAUGCGUAGAGAUCGGAAGGAACAUCUGUGGCGAAGGCGACUAUCUGGGCCAACACUGACACUAAGGCACGAAAGCGUGGGGAGCAAACAGGAUUAGAUACCCGCGUAGUCCCUGUCUCUUAUAC
rnacentral:rRNA from 1 species